rnacentral:rRNA from 1 species
GACGAACGCUGGCGGCGUGGAUUAGGCAUGCAAGUCGAACGGUAGGAUACCUUCGGGUAUCUGAGAGUGGCGAACGGGUGAGUAACACGUAGGUGAUCUACCCUCAAGAUUGGGACAACCCAGGGAAACUUGGGCUAAUACCGGAUGAAAGCAGCAGUGAUGUUGUUUGAAAGGUGGCGUAAGCUGCCGUUUGGGGAUGAGCCUGCGCUCUAUUAGUUAGUUGGCGGGGUAAAGGCCCACCAAGGCGAUGAUAGAUAGGCGGCCUUAACGGGUGGUCGCCCACACUGGGAUUGAGAUACGGCCCAGACUCCUACGGGAGGCAGCAGUCGAGAAUAGUCUACAAUGGCCGAAAGGCUGAUAGUGCGACGCCGCGUGAACGAAGAAGCCCUUCGGGGUGUAAAGUUCUUUUAUAUGUGAGCAGUGCUUUCUAUGUGAACAGCAUGGGGAGAGAGAUAUUAGCAUAUGAAUAAGCAAACGGCUAAACUCCGUGCCAGCAGCCCG